rnacentral:rRNA from 1 species
AGUGAACGCUGGCGGUAGGCCUAACACAUGCAAGUCGAACGGCAGCACAGUAAGAGCUUGCUCUUACGGGUGGCGAGUGGCGGACGGGUGAGGAAUACAUCGGAAUCUACUUUUUCGUGGGGGAUAACGUAGGGAAACUUACGCUAAUACCGCAUACGACCUACGGGUGAAAGCAGGGGAACUUCGGACCUUGCGCGAUUGAAUGAGCCGAUGUCGGAUUAGCUAGUUGGCGGGGUAAAGGCCCACCAAGGCGACGAUCCGUAGCUGGUCUGAGAGGAUGAUGAGCCACACUGGAACUGAGACACGGUCCAGACUCCUACGGAGGGCAGCAGUGGGGAAUAUUGGACGAUGGGCGCAAGCCUGAUCCAGCCAUACCGCGUGGGUGAAGAAGGCCUUCGGGUUGUAAAGCCCUUUUGUUGGGAAAGAAAAGCAGCAGGUUAAUACCCCGCUGUUCUGACGGUACCCAAAGAAUAAGCACCGGCUAACUUCGUG